rnacentral:rRNA from 1 species
AGAGUUUGAUCAUGGCUCAGGAUGAACGCUGGCGGCGUGCUUAACACAUGCAAGUCGAACGGGGGCGUGAUGUGCGAGAGGGAUAGUUUACUAGACUUCAAACUUUUCACGCCCUAGUGGCGGACGGGUGAGUAACGCGUGGGUAACCUGCCAUAUACAGGGGGAUAACACUUAGAAAUAGGUGCUAAUACCGCAUAAGCGCACAGGGGCGCAUGCCCCGGUGCGAAAAACUCCGGUGGUAUAUGAUGGACCCGCGUCUGAUUAGCCAGUUGGCAGGGUAACGGCCUACCAAAGCGACGAUCAGUAGCCGGCCUGAGAGGGCGGACGGCCACAUUGGGACUGAGACACGGCCCAAACUCCUACGGGAGGCAGCAGUGGGGGAUAUUGCACAAUGGGGGAAACCCUGAUGCAGCGACGCCGCGUGAGUGAAGAAGUAUUUCGGUAUGUAAAGCUCUAUCAGCAGGGAAGAAAAUGACAGUACCUGACCAAGAAGCCCCGGCUAACUACGUGCCAGCAGCCGCGGUAAUACGUAGGGGGCAAGCGUUAUCCGGAUUUACUGGGUGUAAAGGGAGCGUAGACGGUUAUGUAAGUCUGGAGUGAAAGCCCGGGGCCCAACCCCGGGACUGCUUUGGAAACUGUGUAACUGGAGUACAGGAGGGGCAGGCGGAAUUCCUGG